UACGAAGGGUGCAAGCGUUACUCGGAAUUACUGGGCGUAAAGCGUGCGUAGGUGGUGAGUUAAGUCUGUCGUGAAAGCCCCGGGCUCAACCUGGGAAUGGCGAUGGAUACUGGCUCGCUAGAGUGCGGUAGAGGAGAGUGGAAUUCCCGGUGUAGUGGUGAAAUGCGUAGAGAUCCGGAGGAACACCAGAGGCGCAGGCGGCUUGCUGGGUCUGUAUUGACGCUGAGACACGAAAGCAUGGGGAGCGAACGGG
rnacentral:rRNA from 1 species